rnacentral:sRNA from 1 species
UAACAGCACCUACCACACUUAUGCCAUAACUAGACAGGAAUGAAUGACGCAGACAGGAAUAAAUGAUGCAGCACAGAGAGGGGAAAUUCGAACUGAUGCACUGGUAGCGUGCACAGCACCUUCCAGGACUGUGAAAUUGAGCCACUGGAUAUGAAGCUUGCAGGAGUUCCUUGGACAAUUCUAAUAGCAAUCUAGAUCCAGGAUCAGAUGGAGUCUUUCCUUGUUAAGGGAGCAGAAGAAUUUGAAAUGCCCAGAAGGUCUAGAGAAUGAUUAUGUGAAAUCAAGAAUUGGGAAGUAGAGUGGGUGAGUAGUUUAUGCCAAACACUUGUACUUUAUAAAGAAGCUGGUACCCCCUGAAUACCUGAUGGCAUUGUUGCCUUCAGCCUGGCCUGAGUGGGUUAAUA